rnacentral:ncRNA from 2 species
AAACAAAAUAUUAAUUGCGGUCAUUUUUCAUGCAGUUUUUCAGAAUCUGCCAUGAAAGUGAUAAUAGGGAAGCCGGUUCAAUUCCGGCACAGUCACCUCUACUGUAACGUGGACGAGGAAACAAUAUGCCAUUGGCGCUGUACAGAUAGCUGCUGAGAAGGCGUUUCUAAGGUCGAAGCGGAGUCAGGAUACCUGCCGUAAAAACAGAUUGCUG